rnacentral:lncRNA from 1 species
CUCAUCCUCGUUUCCGGUAGUAGCGUUCCGAUCGGAGAUAUGAGUUUUUGUAUGCUCCAAGAGCUGAUGGAGUGAAGAGGCGAGACGCCUCAUAAGCGAGACGCAACAUAAGCGAAAUGCCUCACAAGCGGGGCGCCUCACAGGCGAGACGCCUCACAGAGGGGCACUUCAAAAAUUGGACGCUCCAAGAGCUGUUGGAGCGAAGAGCCGAUGAG